rnacentral:rRNA from 1 species
GAUGAACGCUGGCGGCGUGCUUAACACAUGCAAGGCGAGCGAAGCGCUUAAGUUCGAUUCUUCGGAUGAAGACUUUUGUGACUGAGCGGCGGACGGGUGAGUAACGCGUGGGUAACCUGCCUCAUACAGGGGGAUAACAGUUAGAAAUGGCUGCUAAUACCGCAUAAGACCACAGUACUGCAUGGUACAGUGGUAAAAACUCCGGUGGUAUGAGAUGGACCCGCGGCUGAUUAGGUAGUUGGUGAGGUAACGGCCCACCAAGCCGACGAUCAGUAGCCGACCUGAGAGGGUGACCGGCCACAUUGGGACUGAGACACGGCCCAGACUCCUACGGGAGGCAGCAGUGGGGAAUAUUGCACAAUGGGCGAAAGCCUGAUGCAGCGACGCCGCGUGAAGGAUGAAGUAUUUCGGUAUGUAAACUUCUAUCAGCAGGGAAGAAAAUGACGGUACCUGACUAAGAAGCCCCGGCUAACUACGUGCCAGCCGCCGCCGUAA